rnacentral:rRNA from 1 species
CCUACGGGAGGCAGCAGUGGGGAAUAUUGCACAAUGGGCGAAACCCUGAUGCAGCAACGCCGCGUGAGUGAUGACGGCCUUCGGGUUGUAAAGCUCUGUCUUCAGGGACGAUAAUGACGGUACCUGAGGAGGAAGCCACGGCUAACUACGUGCCAGCAGCCGCGGUAAUACGUCGGUGGCGAGCGUUGUCCGGAUUUACUGGGCGUUAAGGGGGCGUAGGCGGACUUUUAAGUGAGAUGGGAAAUACUCGGGGUCAAAUUGAGUGCUGCAUUUCGAACUGGAAGUCUAGGGUGCAGGAGAGGAGAAUGGGAUUGCGAGGGUAGCGGUGAAAUGCGUAGGGAUUAGGAAGGAAACCAGUGGCGAAGGGGAUUCUCUGGACUGUAACUGACGCUGAGGCUCGGAAGCGUGGGGAGCAAACAGGAUUAGAUUCCCCUAGUAGUC